AGAAAAGGACAGAACAAGAGCUGAGGGAAUUCAGAGAACAGAGAGAUUAUUUCUAAUUCGAGUGACAGCAUGUGGAGUCAGAGAAGGCUUCUUGAAGGAAAUUGCAUCUGAGCUGAAUGAACAGGAUCUGAGAUUGUGGUGAGGCUCUGGAUACGCUUUAUCCCACCUCAGUUUCUCUGGUGAGGCCCUUUGCCAUGUAAACUGGUUGUGGUCAAAUGGAAAUAUUUGAAGGGUUGCCACGUGGAAGAGGGAUUUAGGCCUAUUCUGCAUGGUCCCAGAGGAUAGAACUCGGAUGAAGAAGAUGGUAACUGCUGCGGAGAGAUGGAUUUGGACGCUACAUAAAGAUCAACUAUAAGGUGGUUGUGACGGUAUACUCCGUAUCUACGGGAAAGGGUUUAAGACCACUGGCACACCUAUCCACGGGAGUGUACCCAGGGAAUCCCGCACCCCCACCCGAGGAACAUGAAGCCCGCAGAGAUUCCUCCUUCUAUUCUACAGCUGAGAAAUGUAGGUCCACAUAUAUAAAGCAAUAAAUACUGAGUUGGUCUAAAACCCAACUCUCCAGAGUCCCACCCCAGCCUUGUACUACUGAAAUACACUGCUUUGCCCUCAAGUUUCAAGAUCUUCAAGCUUUCACUUCUCUACAACAUGUCUCCCUUAGGCUCCUCCACACACAGUACUUAGAGGCCAGAAUUAAACUUUGCUGGGGCUGGGUUUCACGAUUUGACAAAUACUCUGUUUGACCAUGUUUGUUUUCAGAAUCCUCAAUGUUCGCUGCUUGAAUAGUACUCUCUGUGAAGGGCUUUACAACUGUUUUGAUUGUUUCUUCCAUUUUUGUCUCAAGAGUAUUCAAGUAAGAAGCGUUUAGGGGCUUAUAAGAAAAAUUCCAAAUCUGGCCUUGUUUCUAAGGAGAGGAGAUUGAGGCCCAGAGGGAAGAAAACUUCUCAGCCAGAUGUUGUCCCCACAACAGCAACUUAAACUCCCCAGUUUUGUUCCUUUCAGGAACAACUGUAGCAGACCAGUUUGCCUUCCUGGGCACGAUCUCUCUGAAGCUCAAUCUGGGAUAUCCAGAUGGAGACAUCCAGUCUUGCCAACCUUGCUGCCACCUCGCCCAAGAUCUUCUCUUCCCACUGUAUCAAACAUUUCCUCUUGCCUCCUGUCCCCUCCCUCCCCUCCAACUCUUCCUCUGCCCAGCAUUUGCCUGGCUGUCGGAACUUGUUUCCUGUCAGUCGCAUCUCCCUAAGCCUAGAUACACCCCAGUGCAGUAUUCCUGACAGAACAAUGUGAUGUGGUGAUGCAAGAGCCCGAGGUGUCAAAUUGGGCGACUAAAGCAGGGGAAGGUUAGAAUUUCUUCCGUCUGGAAGGACAAACACGCGCACAAAGAGAAAAGCUAAACAAGGAAGCCAAUUUCCCAUCCCUUGUCUUUCCCUUGCCUCUCGGUCCUGAUCCCAAAGCCCCGUACCGUACCUACAACGGAUCUUCUCUGGACUAAGAACCCACUUGACUUAGAAGGAGCAGCUAGUUUGAGCACCAAAGAACAGGACAUUUUCAAGGUUUCAACACACUCCUUGUUUUGUCUUUCUUGUUUGUUUUUACAUCAGCCCCACCCUAAGCUCCUGCUGGUGCAAUGGCUUCAGCUAGUGGCUCAAUGCCAUGGAAGGGACAUUGCUCAGAAGGGGCUGUGGGUGCUCAGGGCAAUCUCCUCCCAGGAAACCAAGCCCCCUGAUCACCUUCCCCUGGCUCUUACUUGUUCAUUUAUUUGACACUCAACACUUGUUAAGAUCCUGCUAUAUCUUAGAGAUUUUGCUUGGAGCAGGGAAUGGGAGUGGAGAGAAUGCAGAGAUCAACAUGGAAUGGCUCUGUCAUCCAGGAGAUCACCGUCUAGUGAGAAAGUUGGAUAUAUAGGCCAAUAUCAUGGUCUACUGUGAGGAUGGGGCUCUAACUGAGGUCUGAAUGCAGUUCUAGAGGCCUCAGAAGAGGGUGUGACCAACCCCCUAUAGGGAUCUAGGAGCAGUGACUGAGGAGGUGAUAUUUGAAUGAUAGCCUGAAGGAUGAGUAAGCUUUGUCCAAACAAGUAGGAGAAGCAGGGCAUUGUAGGCAGAGGAACAGCAUAUUCAAAGGUGGGAGGGGUAAAAGAACAUAUUGUUUUCCGAGAAUAUGGAGUUCAUGGAGACUAAAAUCCCGUCUAUGCUGGAGGUAGGUGGAAAUGGAGGAGAUAUCUCUGAAUAAGUUGAUUGGGGCAAGACUGGAGGUGUUCUUAACAAGAUGCCAAGCAGUGUGGCCUGUCGUGUGGGCACCACAGUACCAAUAAGAUGUUUGGGCAGAGUAGAAAUGUGAGUAGAUCUCUGUGGCAGCGGCAGGAACUCUCUUCCCCAAUCACCUUCCUGCUGGUGACCCACACUCUCUGGUUUCAUCUCAUUAACCUUCAGUCCUACUCUCCUCACCAGUAAAAAAGGGCAGCUUUCAGCGCCAACCUCUUUCCAGAAAGAGUUUCCCCUCAGAUGACUGACUCCAGGGAGCUGGGGCUCUUCCACCCACGGCUCGGACGUCUGGACGUCCAUAUGAGGUGGGACAGUGAGUGGUGAGGCAAAGAGCUUUGGCUUCCGAUAAUCCU